rnacentral:ncRNA from 1 species
AGAGUAUUUGAUUCUGGUUCUGAAAUUUUACGUUAUUUUUGAGUUUGUAUGAAAGAUUUUUCUUGUAAGUUUGUUUCGAUUAUAUAUAGGGGCAAUAGUUAGGUUGAGCUGGUUAGUAAUGACUCUUAGGCUCUCAGCAUCAAGUAUUAUAAAAUCAAUUCGUUAAUGCGUGAUAUAGUAAAAAUAUAAAGCCUGAUAAAUAUUUGUGCCAGCAUUCGCGGUUAUACUUUGAGGUUAAGUAAAAUUUUUUGUUGUCAGUUAUAUGUGGAUGAAACAUUUAAUCUAUCUUUAAAAAAGGGUAAAAUUGGGGUUUUAUAGGGUAUAAGGUAAAUUUUUGAUCUAGAUUGAAGCUGAGAAAUUCCUAUUAUAAACUAGGAUUAGAUACCCUAUUAUUUUGGAAGGUUUAUAAAACACAAAUUAUUAAAAGAUAAAUACUUUAAAAUUAAAGAAUUUGGCGGUGAUUUAAUCUUAUCAGAGGAACUUGUUUUAUAAUCGAUACACCACGCAUUAUCUUACUCGCUUUAGUUGAUAUAUUCAGUCUGUAUACCGUCAUUAUCAGGUAAUUCUAAAAGGAUAUAAUUUCUUAAUAUUAUUGGUGAUAUAAAUUAGAUCAAGGUGCAGCCCAUAAGUAAGUCAAAAUGAGUUACAAUAAUUCAUAUUAUAACGGAUUAGUAAGCGAAAUUUUACUAUGAAGGAGGAUUUAAUUGUAUUUUAAGUUUAAUAAGCUUAAAGGAAAUAAGCUCUAAAUCAUGUACAUAUCGCCCGUCGCUUCCACUAACUAAGGGAAUAAGUCGUAACAUAGUAGGCGUACUGGAAAGUGUGUCUGGAACUAA